GNCGAGCGGCAGCGGNUACUUCGGGAUGCCGGCGAGCGGCGNACGGGUGAGUAAUGCCUAGGAAUCUGCCUGGUAGUGGGGGAUAACUCGGGGAAACUCGAGCUAAUACCGCAUACGUCCUACGGGAGAAAGCGGGGGAUCUUCGGACCUCGCGCUACCAGAUGAGCCUAGGUCGGAUUAGCUAGUUGGUGAGGUAAAGGCUCACCAAGGCGACGAUCCGUAGCUGGUCUGAGAGGAUGAUCAGCCGCACUGGAACUGAGACACGGUCCAGACUCCUACGGGAGGCAGCAGUGGGGAAUAUUGGACAAUGGGCGAAAGCCUGAUCCAGCCAUGCCGCGUGUGUGAAGAAGGUCUUCGGAUUGUAAAGCACUUUAAGUUGGGAGGAAGGGCAGUAAGUUAAUACCUUGCUGUUUCGACGUUACCGACAGAAUAAGCACCGGCUAACUUCGUGCCAGCAGCCGCGGUAAUACGAAGGG
rnacentral:rRNA from 1 species